UCACUGAUUAUCCUUGAGCACCUGGAUUCUUUAAAUUAUCUGCUGGAGAGCCCCUGCCUUCCCCGUGCUGGAUGGGAGACACAACCAAUCCUGUAAGAUCUCAGGGGUUUAAGAGGAAAUCCUGGCAGGUGAAUUUUUCUUUUUAAGUCAAGGUUCACAGUGAAGCAGCUACCUUUCGCCAAGGCAACCCUUUCCACUCUCUCCCCCACCCGCUUCACCGAGUGACAAGUAAAAACUCUGGAUGGAUGGAGAUGAUGGCCCUCCAAUUCAGUGUAAGAGCAGACCCAUCACUUCCCAGGAAGGCCUGUGGCAGGUCCUGCCCCGUUCCGGAUGGAGAGAAUGGAGAGAACAAACUGAAGGUUGGAGAGCUGGGCUACAGAGGAAGACGUCUCAAUUAGAAAGAGAAAGAAUUGAAAGCAGCAUGGAUAGGGAAGGGUAAUUAUCCCCCAGCUGCUGCAGAAAUAAAAUCAGGGCGGUGCUCUC